CUCGGAGGUUUUGGGGUGCUGGCGUGGGCUGCUGCUGCCCCGGGAUCCCGGGAAUUCCCCCCUGGAUGAGCAGGAAUUGUCCCAGCUGCUCCAGGAGCUCCGGGAAUGCGGCUGGGACCGGCCCGAGCCCGCCCUGCUCCGGGUGCUGCUGUCGGUGCUGUGUCCGGCCGAUGUCCGGCCGCUGGCCGCAGCGCUGUGUCCGGCCCGGCCGCUGCGGGCGCGGCUGCUGCUGGACGAGGCCCUGGAGCGGCGCCGGGAGGGCCCCGGGGGCAGCGCGGGGUCCCUGGUGCUGCUGCUGGACAGGCACCUGCAGCGGCUCCCCUGGGAGAGCUCCAGGACCCUCCGGAACGUUCCGGUGACGCGGCUGCCGGGGCUGCGCUUCCUGCUGCGCUACGGGCUGGCA